AGGCUCAAGUUCAAGGCCAUAGCAGAAGUGCUUAUGGUGUGGCCCUGUCAGAUUCCAAUGAAUCUGUGAAUUCUGCU
rnacentral:ribozyme from 1 species